GAAAUAGUUUGGCGGGUUGGAGAUGGCACCCAUAUCAAAAUCUGGGAGGAUCCGUGGCUUCCUAGAGGCACUACAAGGCGCCCAAUUUCUCACAGAGAUACAGAGGACUGGAUUGCAUGGCAUUUUGAUGCAAAAGGGGAAUUUUCUGUUAAAUCGGCUUACCGUGUGUAUUUAGCGACCGAGCUACUGAAUUCUGGUAGCAAUGAAGGAUGGCCUUCGGUUGGUGAUUCAUGGAAGAAUAAAGUCUGGAGGGAUUUAUGGAAAUUGCAUUGCCCGGCAAAAAUACACCAUUUUCUUUG